AGGCCGCGAACCUAAAGGAGAUCUCAGCGCACGCCAUUGGGGUCUCCUGAGGUUGAGAGGUUAUUCUUCAAAUCCAAAUUCCUGCCCUCCAUCAAUUCUCCAUCUCUUACAUGUUCAAUCUCUUGCGUUUCUCUUUUCUUCGUAGAAGAAGAAUUGCCAAUCAAGUGAUGAGAAAAAAACUGCAACAAUAUGAUGGAUUCUAUCCAUGAUUCAUGGUAUUUAAGUCUCUGAUGAUUGAUUCUGUUUUGUUUUCUCUCAUUUGAUCUGAUUUCCUUUUUAAUUUACUUAUUGGAGAUAUGAUGAGUAUUCUUAAUUGGUCCGUGUUUCUGAUUAACCGUGACAGAUAUCCGUUUAGCACACUCUGAUCUCUUGAAUCUUUCGGAAAAUUAUGUUUUAGAUUUAGAAAAUCCUGUAUUCUUUUUAUUUUCUUGACAAACUUAUGAGCUCCGUGAUUAUACGCCUGAUUUGGGCGGUAUACGCUAUUCUGAUUAAAACAUGAGCGGAUAUAUGAAGAAAAUGAGAGCUAAUUUUCACUGUAUUUUCAUUUAUUCUUAGUUUUUAUGGGUAUUUGUUUUGUUGUUUUAGUAUUUAAUAAUUUGAAGUUAUAGUCGGGCUUCUGCAAUGAUGAAUUUAUGAAACAAUUCACAUGUCAGACUUCAGAGAUUUUUCAAUCAGUGAGAAGAAAUUUCAUUUUUCUGAGCAGAAGUGACUGAGUAUCAGAAUCCCAUUUUGGCUUUCGAUUUCUUCGUGUUGGUUUCGAAUUAUAUUAGUUUAAUUCCUAAAGCUGUCAUGGAUUUGCAUUGAGAACUAAGAUGAGAAUUCGGUGGCAUUUAAAUGCGAACCUGAGGAAUUAUAUAUCGUCUAUUGAAGAAUGAACGGCUAAAGAAAUAAAUAACAGAAGCUGAAGCUAUGCUGCCAAAUAAAUAUGGGUGACUCAUCGUUGUUUAUUCUUACUAGUGUUCGAUGAGACCUAAAAAAAGAAAAUUAAUAUUAUAUGGUCGAGCUCCAUACAUAAUUGGAGUUGGUCACUAUUUGAUUAUUUUCAAUGGUUGAUGGGUAACAUGGUCUACGAAGGUUCAUAAUACAAAUGCAAAAUAGAAAGUUGGUGGUAUAUUACUUGUUGACAACAAGUCAUAUAUCUGCAAUCUGAUGAAUCUUGUGGAAGAUGCUAAUGAAUCGCUUUCGGUGACAGAAAUAGCAAGCGUCUUCUUUUGCUUCUUUGAGCACUAAAUCAUUAGAUCAGUUUAGCCACAUUUGUUUCUAAUCCCUCGCAGAGAACCAAAGAGGUGCAAAUCUAAUGUUUUCUUGGGAAACCAGUCUCUGUUGUUUGCCCUUGAGAGGGCCAUAAGGAAAUUACCGGCAACUUCACUGAGAUUAAGAUCUGGCGAGCUUUAAGAAAAAAGAUCUUUUUAUCCCGAAUUUAAUUGGAUGGUAAGAGAUAUUUCAGUCUCAUUGUUAGUGAACAUCACAACUCAUUAAACUCUCUCUAGACAGUUAGCCUUCUCUAGGCAGUUAGCCUUUUUCUGCAGGAAACGCCGGCCAUCCCUACCCAAUAGCUGUGGGGGUGGCUUUUCUCACCUCAGCCUAGAAAUGGGUUUGCUCCCUCUAUGAGGUGGGGAUGUAAAAAGUUUUCAUGUUUGUUUUUUGUCUCCAGUGAAUUGAGCUUUGACGAGGGAGCUGCUUCUUGUGCCCUUUCGGUUGUUUUGGUGCUUUGGGUUUCUUCAUUUGUCCUUCCACGUCUUGAACACCGCAGUAGGCAAAUGGUGUUGUCUUGCAGAGGACUGCUUUCUUGUUAGUGCCUUGGUGUCUUUUGAUCUUGUGGUUUUUGGCUGGUUCUGGCGAUGGGUACUUGAGUUGAUUAUGAAGGUUUUCCUUUCCUUUCUGUAACAAUGGGUUCCUUCUCAGCUCUUUUGUUGUGUUUUCUCUCUGCAAGUGUGAUUGCAACUCUAUUCUUGGCUCCAGACUCACGGAUCUGAGUUGCAUGCUAUUGAAUAUUGGUCAAGGUUAUUCUUUUGUUUGAUGUGCUGGCUGAUUGUACUGUGCUUUGAGGUUCAGUGUGUUGUAAUAAGUCUUUUGGCUAUUGUUGGGAUUCUCAAGCGUUGAUGGCAGACGGGCAUCUAGAGCAGCCUUCUCUUUCCCAUUGGGGAAGAGAUGUUGAUGUAAGGCUUGCAGUCGAAUCUUGUGUUUUGGAAUCUAGAUUUUUUGAGUUGUUUAAUGGGUUAAGGUUCGAUUGGGCUAAUCCCUUCGACUUGAAGAGAGAUGCAUCUGUCUUUGAUGUCAACAAGAUUCGAGUGAGUUGGAUAAUUCAUCACUAUGGCUUAAUUGCUCCUUUUGAGCGAGCCGGUCUUUUAUACCUACUCGCCAUUUGCUCGAUUUGAGCUCAUUCAGCAAGUACACAUAAUCGUUUGGGAAGUUGGUAGUACUUUUAGUUUAUCAUCUACAAGUGGAUUGACUAUGAUGCUAUGAACAGGAAAGCCUUGAAAUUAUUCUUUAUUAGUAAUACGAAGCUAAAAGCAAGAAAAGCAGCAAGUCAACUGUAUAUGGGCUAUUGAAUUUUAUUGAUGAAAUUUUGUUUAAGUUAUGGAGUAAGAAUUAUUAUAUUCACUGAAAAUUACGUGGAAGGCUUAAAAAAAAAACAAAAACUCAGAAUUUCUGAGUUCAGUGGUAUUAAACAAAGUGCAUUGUCUCGGAUCAUAUCUUACUUUGUUGUAAAGUUAUGCACAAUUUGAAUAACAGAAGCAAGGGCAAGAAUUAUGAAUGGGCACUUGGAUAUCUCUGUCUGUACUUGAUAUGCGCAAGAGAGGGGGGGGGGGGGGUAUUCAUAUCUAAUCAAGCAAUUUUCACUACAUUGUUACUGGUGUCAGUGUAAUUAGCAGUUCAAUUUAGUAUUAUUUAUCGCGGAGGCAACGGCGGCAAUGGCGGUGAUUGUAGUGUUUGAGGGUCUCUAACUGUUAGAAUUAAAAGAAACAAGAUAUUCUUUUUAUAUAGAGAAAAUAAAAUUUACAUAGAUUAAGGAGGCAGUUGAGCUAUAUAUAUUUUUUUAAUUUGUAUCUAAUUUACCCUUGAAUCAAUAUUUAAUGAGUGAAAUGAAUAAUGUCCUACGUGAUGCAAGGCACAUUUAUUGAGCAAAUUUGUGAAGGAAUAAAGCAUAUCAUGCGUAGAUUAUAAUAGAAUUUAUGCCACAAAAAUUCAAAAUUGGAGCUAUUUUCAUUAUUGAGCAAAUUUGUGAAGGAAUAAAGCAUAUCAUGCGUAGAUUAUAAUAGAAUUUAUGCCACAAAAAUUCAAAAUUGGAGCUAUUUUCAUUAUUUGUGCAUAUAUUGAUAAUUUAAAUUUAAAAAUAUGCUCACAUUUCUUUCAAGAUAUAAAUAUCGACAGCAACUUGAGCACAAUUUUGUGGUCAUAUCCAAUGAAUCAAUAUAUAUAUAUAUAGUAAUUAAAAGUUGUUUACAUAAUAGAUGUAAAAAGAACAAAGAAUUUUCUGAUUUACAAGAUAAUAAAUUCGUAUAAGUCAUCAAAGUAAUUAAUGCUCUUAUUUAUUAUAAUAUUAUAUGUUUAUUUAUGCUGUUCUUUCAUCUUUCAAAGAAAGCACUGAUUUUAUUUAUUAUUGUUGUGUUGGUAAAUUUAAGUGGCCUUUGUAUACACUAUUUUGUCCGCGUCACCACCUUACAGACUAUUCUCGGCUUCAAAACUCAGCUUCGGCGUGGUUCUUUGAUUGAAGCCUUGAUUGUCGGUUUGGUUGAAUCCAAAAUCAAUUCGGUGAUGCUUGUUGCAACAGGGGUUUCUAUUUUGCUAUUAGGAGGAUUGACCUUGGUUCAGACGACUUCGGAGGUUGCUUAAAGCUACUGUCUCUACUCGUGCAUACCUGCAACCGGGAGUCUUGAGAUUUAUGCUUUAUCCUCAUUCCUCGCUGUCAAAUCCUCGAACCAAGGAUUUAGGUGGACCAAUCACAGUAUAGUUUUAUUUUUCGGUUAUAUUAUUUUAUUCCGCUAUCGGGAGAUCCAUUAAAUUUUAUCUGUUUAUUUAGAUUAAAACUAGUCUCUUAUCCUCUUUUUCUCUUAAAAAAAUAUAUUUUUUCUUUUUCGAAAUGACCGAUAAUUCAUGAGCUGCUGCUAAGGUUGCUACCAAUGAGAAUGCUAUCAUUUCUUC